rnacentral:rRNA from 1 species
AUUGAACGCUGGCGGCGGCCUAACACAUGCAAGUCGAACGGUAGCACAGAGAGCUUGCUCUCGGGUGACGAGUGGCGGACGGGUGAGUAACGUCUGGGAAACUGCCCGAUGGAGGGGGAUAACUACUGGAAACGGUAGCUAAUACCGCAUAACGUCGCAAGACCAAAGUGGGGGACCUUCGGGCCUCACACCAUCGGAUGUGCCCAGAUGGGAUUAGCUAGUAGGUGGGGUAAUGGCUCACCUAGGCGACGAUCCCUAGCUGGUCUGAGAGGAUGACCAGCCACACUGGAGCUGAGACACGGUCCAGACUCCUACGGGAGGCAGCAGUGGGGAAUAUUGCACAAUGGGCGCAAGCCUGAUGCAGCCAUGCCGCGUGUAUGAAGAAGGCCUUCGGGUUGUAAAGUACUUUCAGCGGGGAGGAAGGCGGUGAAGUUAAUAGCUUCACCGAUUGACGUUACCCGCAGAAGAAGCACCGGCUAACUCCGUGCCAGCCGCCGCGGUAA